rnacentral:rRNA from 1 species
AUGCAAGUCGAACGGACGAGGAGGAGCUUGCUUCUCCAAGUCAGUGGCGGACGGGUGAGUAACGCGUGAGUAACCUGCCCUUCAGAGGGGGAUAACGUCUGGAAGCGGACGCUAAUACCGCAUGACAUAUUUCCAUCGCAUGGUGGAGAUAUCAAAGGAGCAAUCCGCUGAAGGAUGGACUCGCGUCCGAUUAGAUAGUUGGCGGGGUAACGGCCCACCAAGUCGACGAUCGGUAGCCGGACUGAGAGGUUGAACGGCCACAUUGGGACUGAGACACGGCCCAGACUCCUACGGGAGGCAGCAGUGGGGGAUAUUGCACAAUGGGCGAAAGCCUGAUGCAGCAACGCCGCGUGAGGGAAGACGGUUUUCGGAUUGUAAACCUCUGUUCUAAGUGACGAACAAAUGACGGUAGCUUAGGAGAAAGCCCCGGCUAACUACGUGCCAGCAGCCGCGGUAAUACGUAGGGGGCAAGCGUUGUCCGGAAUUACUGGGUGUAAAGGGAGCGCAGGCGGAGAAGCAAGUCAGUGGUGAAAACGAUGGGCUUAACUCAUCGACUGCCAUUGAAACUGUUUCCCUUGAGUGAAGUAGAGGCAGGCGGAAUUCCGAGUGUAGCGGUGAAAUGCGUAGAUAUUCGGAGGAACACCAGUGGCGAAGGCGGCCUGCUGGGCUUUAACUGACGCUGAGGCUCGAAAGUGUGGGGAGCAAACAGG